UACGUAGGGACCAAGCGUUGUUCGGAUUUACUGGGCGUAAAGGGCGCGUAGGCGGCGUGUUAAGUCAGUUGUGAAAUCUCCAAGCUUAACUUGGAACGGUCAACUGAUACUGUGCGACUAGAGUGCGGAAGGGGCAACUGGAAUUCUCGGUGUAGCGGUGAAAUGCGUAGAUAUCGAGAGGAACACCUGCGGCGAAGGCGGGUUGCUGGGCCGACACUGACGCUGAUGCGCGAAAGCCAGGGGAGCGAACGGG
rnacentral:rRNA from 1 species